GGACGGGCCCGGCGCGGGAGGGAGCGAAGCAGCGCGGGCAGCGAGCGAGUGAGCGCGCGGCGGCCCCUGGUCCGCCCGGCCGCGGCCGAUCUAGGGGCUGGGGGCUGGAGGCGGGGGUGGGGGUCUGAGCUGCGUCCUGGGCUCGAGGCGUCCCCCGGGGAGUCGCCUCUUGGCGGUGCGUCCGGGCUAGCGGCGAGGGGCCGCCCCAAGUCUUCCCACCGCCGCCACCUUAGCAGCCCGACUUGGGGCCUGGAAAGUGGAACACGCGGAGGUGGGAGGGCCCUGCACGCGGCCCCCGGUGGGGAAGGGGACGGGCCAGGGAUUCAGACUCGGGCUCUCCCCUCAGGAUGCAGCACCGAGGCUUCCUCCUCCUCACCCUCCUCGCCCUGCUGGCGCUCACCUCCGCGGUCGCCAAAAAGAAAGAUAAGGUGAAGAAGGGCGGCCCGGGGAGCGAGUGCGCUGAGUGGGCCUGGGGGCCCUGCACCCCCAGCAGCAAGGACUGCGGCGUGGGUUUCCGCGAGGGCACCUGCGGGGCCCAGACCCAGCGCAUCCGGUGCAGGGUGCCCUGCAACUGGAAGAAGGAGUUUGGAGCCGACUGCAAGUACAAGUUUGAGAACUGGGGUGCGUGUGAUGGGGGCACAGGCACCAAAGUCCGCCAAGGCACCCUGAAGAAGGCGCGCUACAAUGCUCAGUGCCAGGAGACCAUCCGCGUCACCAAGCCCUGCACCCCCAAGACCAAAGCAAAGGCCAAAGGUCAGCGAAAGGAGAAGGGGGU
rnacentral:sRNA from 1 species